rnacentral:rRNA from 1 species
GUCGAACGAUGACGCCCUUCGGGGUGGAUUAGUGGCGAACGGGUGAGUAACACGUGGGCAAUCUGCCCUGCACUCUGGGACAAGCCCUGGAAACGGGGUCUAAUACCGGAUGACACUUUCUUUCGCAUGGGAGAAGGUUGAAAGCUCCGGCGGUGCAGGAUGAGCCCGCGGCCUAUCAGCUAGUUGGUGAGGUAGAAGCUCACCAAGGCGACGACGGGUAGCCGGCCUGAGAGGGCGACCGGCCACACUGGGACUGAGACACGGCCCAG